AGUCAUAUGCUUGUCUCAAAGACUAAGCCAUGCAUGUCUAAGUAUAAGUAUUAUACAGCGAAACUGCGAAUGGCUCAUUAAAACAGUUAUAGUUUAUUUGAUAAUCGAAUUUACAUGGAUAACCGUGGUAAUUCUAGAGCUAAUACAUGCUGGUGUGCCCGACUUUUCGGAAGGGCGGUAUUUAUUAGAUAACAAGCCAAUAUUCCUCUGGUCUAUUGUGGUGACUCAUAAUAACUGAUCGAAUCGCAAGGCCUUUGGCCGCGAUAAGUCAUUCAAGUUUCUGCCCCAUCAGCUUUCGAUGGUAGUGUAUUGGACUACCAUGGCGUUUACGGGUAACGGAGGAUUAGGGUUCGAUUCCGGAGAGGGAGCCUGAGAAACGGCUACCACAUCUAAGGAAGGCAGCAGGCGCGUAAAUUACCCAAUCCUGACUCAGGGAGGUAGUGACAAGAAAUAACGGACCGAGGCCUUCGGGCUUCGGGAUUGGAAUGAGCCGAAUUUACACCCCUUAGCGAAGAUCGAU
rnacentral:rRNA from 1 species